UCAAGAAGCUAAAUGAUGCAUUCACCUCCCAAUCAGCAUGUAGGGAGCUUGUCCCAACAAUGGCCAAGUAUAAAGAUAUAUGGCCUUCUCCAUCUCCAACAGGAUGAAUGAUCAUUUUCCUAUCCCAGGUUCAUGAACAGGUCAGGAAAUUCUGAAACAUAUGUUUUUUCAUUGAAAAAAAAAAGAGAGAUAAUAUUGAGACAAGUCUAUAGCCAGGGGAACAAUUCUAAAUAUUUUUGUACAGAAACAUUUUCAAUGAUAUAGAAACUGUAUAAUUAACAACUUGCAACACAUCCAGCUUCUCAAACUUCUCACAGAAAGUCCAAAUGGGGGGAGAGGGGGAGGGGGAGGAGCACUAGACGGAAGGAAAGUAAGGUCAUUUUGAAAAAGAUUGCUUGCUUAUCCUAUCCACAGCUUAAUAGCUUGCCCUUUCUCAUAUUCCUUUACCAAUCUAUGGUUCACAUCGUCUCAAUAAAUACCUGAAAUGAGCAUACUCAGUAAUACACAUUAACCAUGGACCAGAUAUUAGUAGUGUGGACCUACUAAGUGGUGGCAGAGCAAGAAUUUUUACCUAGGGGGCCAAAAUGUGAAGUAAACACAGUUAUCCUAUCCAUAGCUUAAUAGCUUGCCCUUUCUCGUAUUCCUUUACCAAUCUAUGGUUCACAUCGUCUCAAUAAAUACCUGAAAUGAGCAUACUCAGUAAUACAUAUUAACCAUGGACCAGAUAUUAGUAGUGUGGACCUAUUAAGUGGUGGCAGAGCAAGAAUUUUUACCUAGGGGGCCAAAAUGUGAAGUAAACACAUGAAGAAGCUGAAGGGGGUUCAACAUCUACUAUAUCUACAUAAAAUAUAAGUUUAAUCACAUGCAAACACUGUAAUUUCCUAAUCCUGAACCUAAUAACAAUAUGGUCAAUUUUAGUAGGUUUAAACACUGAAUGAUUCCUGGUGAGUACUAUCCAUACUAGUACAAGGUGAUAUAGAAAAAAUGAAAGGUAAAACAAAUUACAGUCUACCAGAAUUUGAAUCUUGACCAUUUAUUUGGUUAAUGUGUGUACAGAUUUUAUUAUAUAGUGCCUCUUCAAGCUUAGUUUUGUCAACCUUUUAUCUUAAACUAAUCUUAGAAAACAUGCCUUCCGUAGUAUCCACGAGAACCCCUUCAAAAUUCCUCUUCCUUGCCAAAUUGUCAAAUAGGUAACAUAUAUAUUACCACCAAUAUAUUUCGACUGUGAUGUAUGAGUAUAAUUUUGUUAGCUUCACUUAAUUUGAAGUUUGAAUAUUAAGUACUCAUGGCAAAUAACACGGAAGUAAACACAUGAAGAAGCUGAAGGGGGUUCAACAUCUACUAUAUCUACAUAAAAUAUAAGUUUAAUCACAUACAAACACUGUAAUUUCCUAAUCCUGAACCUAAUAACAAUAUGGUCAAUUUUAGUAGGUUUAAACACUGAAUGAUUCCUGGUGAGUACUAUCCAUACUAGUACAAGGUGAUAUAGAAAAAAUGAAAGGUAAAACAAAUUACAGUCUACCAGAAUUUGAAUCUUGACCAUUUAUUUGGUUAAUGUGUGUUCAGAUUUUAUUAUAUAGUGCCUCUUCAAGCUUAGUUUUGUCAACCUUUUAUCUUAAACUAAUCUUAGAAAACAUGCCUUCCGUAGUAUCCACGAGAACCCCUUCAAAAUUCCUCUUCCUUGCCAAAUUGUCAAAUAGGUAACAUAUAUAUUACCACCAAUAUAUUUCGACUGUGAUGUAUGAGUAUAAUUUUGUUAGCUUCACUUAAUUUGAAGUUUGAAUAUUAAGUACUCAUGGCAAAUAACACGAAAGAGAAUAGGCAAGUAUUGCGAGAGCCCAUUAUCAACUAAAAGAUGUCAAAUUCUCAAAAGCAACUAGCAAAAAUUAUUCAAAAAAAAUGGGAGUUGGGGAAGGAGAAAUGGGAGAGUGGAUAAAGGACUACAAGGUGGGUAAUUGAACCCUCACCAAUAGGCAAUAAGGUGUAACCAACUAACUGAGCUGCUAAAAUCCCACGGAGUCAAAAAUGAGAUUGAAGUCUAUACAAACAAAAAUUGAAGUUGAAGAGAUGCAUAGUUGAUAGUACCAUUUGUAGCCACAAGACUCAAACUCAUUUGAUUCAUAUUUGAGAAAACCAUUUUCUGAGAGGGAGGAAAAUGAUUCAAUCUUCAUCAAGUAACGUGCUGGUGAUGCAUCUGUGCUAUUUUCCUUGUUUACUUCUGAAAUGGAAAAGACAGGAACAUAAUUUAACAUCAAGUAUUAUUUGAUAUUUAUACCUUAUUUUUACACCUUUAAACCCCAAUAGAAUUACUACAACAUCUUUCAUUUAGUUACUCUGUCAAUUACAGUUUUCAUUGCAUGUGAAAGACUAUCGAAAAAGAAACCAACCAAAACGAACAUAUUCAUAUACAUAUGUAGUAGAUACAAAUCAAAAUUUGAAAAGAUAUAUUUGCAUCUGGUGUAAACUACUAAAAAGACAGGAUUUAGCACGGAGUCUGUCACUAAACCUAUUCAUAUAGGUCUGUUCGUAGCUAAUUGCAGUUUGUUUUGGAAAUGUUAAAGAUGCAUAGUAGCCAAAUUGACCUAUAAAGUAGGGAGAAUAACUCAUAUAUUAUCUCAUAUCUCUGUUGCUGACCAACUUUGAGGGACUUAUGAUCACUUCUGAUUCAAUAAACUGUUUUAUACUUACAUUACUUGAACCUAAAUAGACUCUUUGUUCAUUGUUUUCUUAGCAUCCCAAGGGAUAGAGGUCUCUUCACUUGCUCCUUUCAUUAAUUUUUCCAGCAUCUCAACUAGGGUGGGCGUUCGGUUUUUCGGUUCGGGUUCGAUUCGUUUUAUGAUUUUCGGUUAUGAAAUUAGGUGCACCGAAAAUUGAACCGAAUUAGUACCAUUCGGUUCGGUUUAUGUAAAUUUCGGUUCCAGUUUAUAUCGGUUUAAUAAUUUUGAUUUUCGAUUUUGGGCUUGUUUAAUGGGCUAAAUCAUAUUUGUGAAUUAGGCUAUUUUUUAAUGUUUUUAAUAUUUUCUAAUUUUUCUGUUUAAUAAUUUCUAAGUGGAUUAACCAAUAAGACAAUAAACAUAAGAAAACUGGCGCUGAAGUAAUGUCAGUGUCCAAUAAUGAUAGAAUAAAGUUUUCGGCGUUGUCUUCAGGACGCCAAUGUAAGUUCAUGUUAUUAUAUUAUAGAUUGAUAGUGUGUUUAUAUAAGAAUCACUUAUUUGUAUAACUCAUUCCUGAAUGGUGUCAUAUCCAAGAACAACAUCACUUAUGUUUCCUGGAAAUUGGAAACGAACAAAGCAAGAUAACACAUCAAGAAGGUUGAAGCAAACAUCAUAUAGGAGAUUUUGGGGCUGAAGACUAUUUGAAUUUUGAAUUUUUCUGGCUUUGCCCAGUUUGACGCUUUAGGCUUUAUUAAUAGAUAUCAAUUAUCAUACAUAUUAAAUAUAUAUUAUAUAUAAUUAUAUAUAUAAUAAUUUUAAAAAAAGUAUAUUAAAAAUUUUGAUUUAAACCGAGAAAUCGAAUUACGUUAACCUAAAAAUCGAAACCUGAACCAAAUUAUCGAAUUUAUAAAAAAAAAAUCAAAACCCAAACCGAAAAACCAAAAAAUUAAAAUAAAAAAACCAAAAUAAUUUGGUUUGAUUCAAUAUUUUAGUUUUCGGUAAUUAUGCCCACCCUUAAUCUCAAGACUCAAAAGACUAUACUCUCUCCAUUUAGUUUUACUUGUCAUAUUUUGAGUUGGCACACCUAUUAAAAAAAGCAAUUAAGAAUAUGACUAUUUUAUCAUAAUAUCCUAUUAAAUAAUGUUUAUAUUAUAUAUUAAAAUUAAUUUUAAAAAAUAAUUAAUAUUAAAGGUAAAAUAGAAAAAAAAAUUUAUCUUCUCUUGAUAUAUCAAAAAUAACAAACAAAAGUAGAAAUUAAAAUUAAAAAAUAAUUGACAAGUGAAAACGAACGGAGGGAGUAUAUUCAUUUGGCUUUCACUGUCUAGACAUACAUCUUUUCACAAUCUAUCAAUACCUAUAUCUAUAUAUACUAAAUAGCAAGAAAAUUUUGUUUAUAAAUUUGCCAAGUGGCAGCUUGAAAUGAUGACACAUGUUAUUUUUUAGGACAACUUAGUUAAAGUUAGGUAUUAAUUAAUUUUUAGUUAAGUAUUUUGUUUAAUUUAAAUUUUAAAAUAAUUAAAUAUUUAUACUUUUAAAGAAAAUAUUUUAUUUUAAAAUUUGAUAGUUACUAGAACAUUUUAAAAAGGUUUUAAUAUUGAUAUUUAACAUAUUUUUUUAUCAUAUUAUUGCUAGGAAAUAAUCCAAUUUUUAAAUAUAUUUCAUAUUUCAAAUUGUUUAUUAAAGACAAAAUAAAAAAUAUGUCCUAUGUUAAAAACAAAUGCAAAUGUUUUUAUAUAAAGUUUUUAAUAUGAAUUUCUUAUUCUAAUUAGAGCUUGUUUAGCGGCAUUUUCAAGACGGGGAAAAUGCCCGAGGCUUGGAGAUGGAGUACUAUGAUUCCUCUAUAUAAGAACAAGGGUGACAUUCAGAGUUGUAACAACUUUACGGGUAUUAAGUUAUUGAGUCAUACUAUGAAGAUUUGGGAGAGAGUGGUCGAGGUGAGGUUGAGAAGGAUAAUGUCUAUUUUGGAGAACCAGUUUGAAUUUAUGCCCGGGCGCUCGACGACGGAGCAAUUUACCUGAUGCGGAGGCUAGUGGAACAGUAUAGGGAAAGGAAGAAGGACCUACACAUGGUGUUUAUCGACUUAGAGAAGGCGUACGACAAAGUCCCUAGGGAGGUUCUUUGGAGAUGCUUGGAGGUGAGCAGGGUCCCGGUGGUGUAUAGCAGAGCAAUCAAAGACAUGUAUGAUGGAGUUAAAACCCAAGUGAGGACGGCGGGAGGAGAUUCAGAGCAUUUCCCUGUCUUGACAGGUUUGCAUCAGGGAUCGACUCUUAGCCCAUUUUUAUUUGCUUUGGUGAUGGAUGUGUUGACGCGGCGUAUCCAAGGAGAGGUGCCUUGGUGUAUGCUUUUUGCAGAUGAUGUAGUUUUGAUUGAUGAGACGCGAGGGGGCAAGAAUGAUAAAUUAGAGGUAUGGAGACAGACCUUUGAGUCCAAAGGGUUCAGGUUGAGUAGGACCAAGACAGAAUAUUUGGAAUGCAAUUUAAAUGACGUGAGGUAGGAGAACGAGGUGCUAGUAAGGUUGGAUUGACAGGUGGUGUGUAAGAGGGAUAGUUUCAAGUAUCUCGGAUCCAUGAUUCAGGGAAACAAUGAGAUUGACGAGGAUAUCGGACAUCGUAUUAGGGCGGGAUGGAUGAAGUGGAAGCUUGCAUCGGGGGUGUUGUGUGACAAGAAGGUGUCUCCUAAGAUUAAAGGAAAAUUCUACUGAGUGACAGUCCAUCCGGCCAUGUUGUAAUUUUAUAAAUUAUCAUUUUGGCUUGAUCCCUUAUUUUUACUUCAGGAGUUGUUGGUUCAACUUUCAUUCUUGACUGACCAUCUUACCACCCUAGGUGCUCACAAAGUUGCAACCUUAGAGUUCUGAUCCUGCACUUUGUGGAUCAUCAUUCAGGCCACACUAGCUAGUCGCAGUUCCCUAGCAAAGAGCACAGCUUCAGUUCACUUCACCAUUUUUCUUUUCAAAGUUGACUGAUGGAUUUUCAUUUUUUCAGCUCAUUCAUUUUUUUUUUCAUUUUUUAUGUCAAUUUUAUCAGCCAAAUUAGCUACACGUUCCUUGUUACCCUGGGUUUAUUCUUUAAUAAGGUUUGAGUUUAUAUAUGGUCUCCAGCUCCUCCCCUUUCCCUCACAGAUAUUCUCCCAAACACUUUCAACUGUAUAAGAAUCACUCUGAGCAACCCAACCAUAUAAAUUUAGAUCAGGGCAAUAACUAUAUUAAAAUCCAUUCUUGGUUGCAGCAGUGCGAGACUUUGGAGGCCUUUCAUAAGUCUAUUGAACCCUUAAAAUCGUCCAAUCACUAUUAAAUUUUUACAAUUCCACCAAAAACUUGGUCCCUUCUCUUAUCUUGACACAUAAACAUUACCAAAACCAUCAUUAAAGGGUAACAGAGUAUCGACACCACCUACUUGGUCCCUUAGUCUUAUUAGUUUCAACCUGUCAAUCUUAACUGUAAAAUGCAAUAUCUUAUUUGAAUUAUUAGUUCCUAAUCAGUAAAAGAAAUUUAUUCACAAAAUUAGUGUACUCUAUGUGUGUUUUCAUUAUAACAUGAUUAGUAAUACAUACCUCCCACAUAUGAAGUGGUUCCAUCCACAAGCAGUUUAUUCCUUCGAACCUAUCUUUACUCUAGCCUUUUAUGUUGGUUGGGCAAAAGUUGAUCCACUUUCACUUUCUUUUCUUUUGGGAGACAUAUUUUAUCUACAAACAAGAUAAAAAAAAUAACAUUACAAUUAAAUCGUGCAUAGUUUAAAAAAAAGUGUAACACAAAAUUCAAUAAAGGGGUAACACAAAAAACCCAUCUGUUGCAAUCAGUGACCCAUCGUUGCAACCGAUAACCCAUCUCUUACAAUAUGUGACCCAUUUGUUGCAAAAAGUGGGCCAUCUAUUGUCAAAAAUCAAAUAAGCCUUGCUACUAGUUUGAUUUCUCCCAAUAGGUGCUCCGUCUGUUGCAACAAAAGGGUAUUCCAAUAGUUGAUUCAUCAGUUGCAACAGAUAGGGAAUCUGCUGGAAAAUCGAUACUGAUUCAUUAGUUGCAAAAUUUGCAACACCAACACUACCAAAAACAUCAAUAACAAAUAAACAAAAAAGAAAUAACCAACAAGGCUUUUAAAGUUCUCCCGUCAGAUGACUUUUUUGCAUAUUUUAAUAAAAACAACGGUUCAUUCAUUUAAGACUAAAAAAAUACCAUUCCUUGAGUUUUCUCAAUAAAUAGGAUAUGAGUAAUAGGUAAAUAAAUUAAAAAAAUAGAUGUAAAUAACUAAUUUAAACAACCAAUAAAAAAAUAUGAUAUUCACAAUUUCAAUUUUCAUCAUAGAAAACAUGAUAAAUUUGAUAAAACAGGUAAAGAAGAAGACAAAAAGGUAAGAAAAUAACAAAGAGCGCAAAUCUAAUAGUGAAUCAUACCUAGAUGUCAAAAGAAAAGGGAUCAAAACAUCAAUUUCAGUUGAGAAAAGAUAUAAAUUGGUUUAGAUCCAAAAGGAUCCACAGGCGAAAGAGGAGAGAAAAAGAAAACAUAGAGAAAAAAGAAGAGACGUUUGGUAUUACCCUAAAGAGGAUAGAAAUAAAAAGAAGAGAGAUGAAUUAUUUAAUAUGUGGUUGAAGGAUAUCAAAUGGGUUUAAAUAUUUAUUAAUAAUUUAUGGUGGUGAAACUCUUUGAGGAGAACGAGGAGACCAUAAUGGUGAAAUUGAAAAGACAAGAUAAGACAACUCAAUGAGAUGAUUUUUGAGUUAUCCAACAAAACUUUUUACCGCCUAAGUAUUUUUUAUUUAUUUCUGUCAGAAAAUUACUUUAAAAUUAAAAAGAUCAUAAAACAAAUAAGUCAUAUAUUUUAACAAAUGUCUACAUCUAUUUGAAAAAUUUCAACAAAUCAGUCAUUUGUCGCAAUAGAUGGCAACAUCUAUUUGUUAAUUUCCUACAGAAAAUUCAUAUGUUGCAACAGAUGUCAUUAUCUAUUUGAUAAUUUCCAACAUAUGAGUUAUCUGUUGCACCAUAUGACAUUAUCGGUUAGAUAAUGACAAACAGAUGCGUCAUCUGUUGCAAUAUGUUAAAUAUCUAUUUUAAUAGGUGACUAUGAUUGUUUGAUAAUUUUCAACAUAUUGUCAUCUAUUGCAACAGGUUAUUCCUCUAUUUAUUCAUAUAAACCCAUUAUUUGAAAUAUUAUUAAAUUAAUUUAGCUAGAAUUAAAGAUGGGUUGAUAGGGCCAACUAAAGUUUUUAUUGAGUCAUUGCAAUUGUAUUUUGUUGGUAUUGCGUUCGUCCUAAAUUGAGUCGUCUACUGAUCAAUUUAAGUUGAAAUGAUUCAUAUUAAAUAAUUUUUUAAAAUAUCUAAAUUGAUUUAGCAAGAAUUAAGGAUGGGUUGAUAGGUUUAACUACAAUUUCAAUUGAGUCAUUGCAAUUGCAUGAUGUUGGUAUUGCGUUCGUCCUGUCCUAAGUUGUUGACUGAUCAAUUUGAGUUCAAAUGAUUCAUAUAAACUUAUUAUUUGAAAUAUUAUAAAAUUAAUUUAGCUAGAAUUAGGGAUGGAUUGAUAGGGUCAACUACAAUUUCAAUCAAGUCGUUGCAAUUGCAUGAUGUUGGUAUUGCAUUCUUCCUAACCUGAGUUAUUAACUGAUCAAUUUGACUUGAAAUGACUCAUAUUAAAUUAUUUUUUUAAAUAUCUAAAUUGAUUUAGCUAGAAUUUGGGAUGGGUUGAUAGAGUCAACUACAAUUUCAGUUAAGUCAUUGCAAUUGCAUGCUGUUGGUAUUGCAUUCGUCCUGACCUGAGUCAUUGAUUGAUCAAUUUGAGUUGAAACGAUCCAUAUCAAACCAUUAUUUGAAAUAUCUAAAUUUAUUUAGCUAGAAUUAUUAAUGGGUUGAUGGGUCAACUACAAUUUCAAUUGAGUUGUUGCAAUUGCAUAAUGUUGGUAUUACAUUCAUCCUGACCUGAGUCAUCGACUAAUCAAUUUGAGUUGAAGUGAUUCAUAUUAAAUUAUUAUUUGAAAUAUUAUUAAAUUUAUUUAUCUAGAAUUAAGUAUGGUUUGAUAGGGUCAACAACAAUUUCAACUAAGUCAUUGCAAUUGCAUGAUGUUGGUAUUACGUUCGUCCUGAUCUGAGUCAUCGAUUGAUCAAUUUUAGUUAAAACGAUUCAUAUUAAAUUAUUUUUUAAAAUAUCUAAAUUAAUUUAGCUAGAAUUAGGGAUGGUUUGAUAGGGUCAACUACAAUUUCAAUUGCAUCAUUGUAAUUGCAUGGUAUAGGUAUUACAUUCAUCCUGACCUGAGUUAUCGAUUGAUCAAUUUGAGUUGAAAUGAUUCAUAUUAAAUUAUUAUUUGAAAUAUUAUUAAAUUAAUUUAUCUGGAAUUAGGGAUGGGUUGAUAAGGUUAACUGCAAUUUCAAUUGAGUCAUUGCAAUUGCAUGAUGUUGGUAUUACGUUCAUCCUAACUUGAGUCGCCGACUGAUCAGUUUGAGUUGAGACGAUUCAUAUCAAAUAAUUAUUGAAAUAUCUAAAUUGAUUUAGUUAUAAUUAGGGAUGGGUUGAUAGGGUCAACUAUAAUUUCAAUUGAGUCAUUGCAAUUGCAUGAUAUUGGUAUUGCGUUUGUCCUAACUUGAGUUGUCGACUAAUCAAUUGAGUUGAAAUAAUUCAUAUUGAAUUAUUAUUUGAAAUAUUAUUAAACUAAUUUAGCUAUAAUUAGGGAUGGGUUGAUAGGGUCAACUACAAUUUCAAUUGAGUCGUUGUAAUUGUAUGAUGUUGAUAUUGCAUUCAUCCUGACCUGAGUCAUUGACUGAUCAAUUUGAGUUGAAAUAAUUCAUAUUAAAUUAUUUUUUGAAAUAUCUAAAUUGAUUUAUCUAGAAUUAGGGAUGGGUUGAUAGGAUCAACUACAAUUUCAAUUGAGUCACUGCAAUUAUGUGAUGUUGGUAUUACAUUCGUCCUGACUUGAGUCGUCGACUGAUCAAUAUAAGUUGAAACGAUUCGUAUCAAGUCAUUAUUUUAAAUAUAUAAAUUUAUUUAGCUAGAAUUAGGAAUGGGUUGAUAGAUUCAACUAUAAUUUUUAUUGAGUCAUUGCAAUUGCAUAUUGUUGGUAUUGCGUUCAUCCUGACCUGAGUCGUAGAUUGGUUGAAACAAUUCAUAUUAGAUUAUUUUUUUAAAUAUUCAAAUUUAUUUAGCUAGAAUUAUGUAUGGUUUGAUAAGGUCAACUACAAUUUCAAUUGUAUCAUUGCAAUUGUAUAUUAUUGGUAUUGCGUUCGUCCUGACCUGAGUCUUCAACUGAUCAAUUUGAGUUGAAAAGAUUCAUAUCUAUCCAUUAUUUGAAAUAUAUAAAUUGAUUUAUCUAUAAUUAGUAAUGGGUUGAUAGGUUCAACUAUAAUUUCAAUUGAAUCAUUGCAAUUGCAUGAUGUUGGUAUUGUGUUCGUCAUGACCUAAGUUUUCAACUGAUCAAUUUGAGUUCAAAUGAUUCAUAUUAAAUUAUUAUUUAAAAUAUUAUCAAAUUGAUUUAUAGCAUUAGGGUUGGGUUGGUCGGGUCAACUAUAAUUUCAAUUGAGUUAUUGCAAUUGCAUAUUAUUGGUAUUGCGUUCGUCCUGACCUGAGUCAUCGACUGAUCAAUUUGAGUUGAAAUGAUUCAUAUAAAAGUAAUUUUUGAAAUAUUAUUAAAUUCAUUAGUGUUCUAAUUGAACUUAAUACAAUUAUUAUGAUGAAACUCUUAAGUUUAUCUCUUUUAAAAAAUUAAUUAAGAUCAAUUCAGACCAAACUAACAUUUUUAAAACUUGUCAUUCUUUUUCAAAAUACAAAUCAACCCAUACAAAUCAUCCAUUUGUGGGAAAAAUAUUUCAUCAUUUCAAAUCUCGAGUUCUCGCUCUUUUCUUUCUCUCUCAACAAUACAAAUAACAACUAUUCAACAUAUUGCUCAACCCUUCACAACAGAUUAAUUUUUUCCCAUUUUUGGCUAUGUAGUUGUUAUUUUUAACUUCAUUCUUGCUUGUAUCCAUCAGUUUCUCAGUCUUCACAGGUAAUAAGAGUUCUACAUUUGUUCUUUUUGUUUUUUAUAAAAAUUAGGGCCUUUUAGUUAAUAAUGACAAAGAGUACUUUUAGUUUUAUUAUCUUUGAGAAUGAGUUAAUAAUUUUGAGUUUUGAUACUAAAAAUAUAGGAAGAACCCGAGAAAACUCUAGUUUUUGUUGUAGUGUUUCGUUGACUGUCGUGGUAUUGUUGGUCUUGUUAGUGGUGUUGGUGGCGAUGUUGGUGGUCUUGGUGGUUGUGUUGGUGGUGUUAGUGAAGGUAUUUUUGGUCUUGGAGGUGGUGUUGGCGGCAUUGGUGUUGGUGUUGGUAUUGGUGUUGGUGGUCUUGGUUGAUGUAUUGGUGGUCUUGGUGGUUGCGUUGGUGGUUUUGGUGGCAUUGGUGGUGGUGUUGGUGGUGGUUUAAGUGGUGGUGGUAGUGGUCUUGAUGAUUGUGUUAGUGGUCCUGGUGUUGGUAUUGGUUGUAUUGGUGGCAGUAUUAGUGCUAGUGUUGGUGGCAUUGGUGGUGGUCUUGGUGUUGGUGUUGGUAUUGGUAUUGGUGGCAUUAGUGGUGCUAUUGGUGGUGGUUUUGGUAUUAGUGGUGGUUUUGGUGGUGGUAUUGGUAUUGGUAUUGGUAUUGGUAUUGGUAUUGGUAUUGGUAUUGAUAUUGGUAUUGGUAUUGGUGGCAUUAGUGUUGGGGUUGGUGGUAGUGUUUGUGGUAGUGGCAUUAGUGUUGGUGGUCAAUCUAUUGCAACAGGUGGAACAUCUGUUGGGAGAUAUGAACAUAGGUCUUCAAACAGAUUCCCCAUCUAUUGCAACAAAUAUUUCAGCUGUCAAGACAGUUUUGAUCUCAUCCAUCAGGUUGUUCAUCUGUUGCAACAGGUUAUGCAUCUGUCAUAACAAAUGAUUCAUCUUUUCCAAUUGAUGGGUUAUCAGUUGAAAUAUUUUUUUGUAAUGUGGCGUAUAAAAAUUUAUUGAAAUUUGCCUUAAUUUUUUUUUUUUUAAAUUAUGGAGACAUCAAUUGUAAUGUAUUUUUUGUUUUUCUAUUAUUUGUAGUUAAAAGAUGUCUCCCAAAAGAAAAGAAACUAAAAAUGGAUCAACUUUUGAACACCUAACAAAAAAGGCUAUAGUACAAUGGAUUCGAAGGAACAUCUUGAACAAUCUCAGUAAGGGAAAAGUGAAGCUGAGGAAAGUUUUGAAAAUGAUGUUGAGGGAGGUGGACAAAGGUAUGUAGAGGCUGGUGAGGAAAAUAAAAGUGAGGAGGAAAAAAAGAAAUAAACAGAAGAAGAGGAAGUAGAAACUAAGAAAGAUGAUGAUGAUCAACAUGAUGCUAAUGCAUCACCAAUGAGGCGUGAAUUAAGAUCGAAAUUCCAGCAAGAUCCUGUCAAAACUUUUAGUAUUGACAGGUUUCAAGUUGAGAUACCGAUAAAUAAGGCAGAACUAACUGGUGAUUUUUUAGUUAAUCUCAGUUGGGGAAACCUUUUGAUGAAUUUAGGGAUACUAUGAAGAAGGAAAAACUAGAGGAAUUUUGUAAGAAGAGCUGCUUUGGCCACUUUCUUGAGCUGCCUGAGGACAAAAAUGCCCAUUUUCAAAUGAGCAUUAUAUAUGGUCUUCUCAACCGCAGGAUCAAGUGCAUGGGGGAUGAUAAGGAUUUGAAGGAAGGGGAAAAAAGAUAGAUGAAAUCUUGAUCAACUACUAUUGUGGCAUGCCGGUUUGUUUUGGCAUGAAAUAGUUUUCCAUAGUGAAGGGCUUGAGAUGCAAUUUUCCAAAAAAACCUCUCAUCAAGGAAGCACUCUGCAAAAAGUCAAAGGCAAAGCAGGCCAGCCAGCCCACCACCAUCAAAUAAAGGCAAGGCAUUGCUCAAGCGACCACCCACCAAAACCAAACAACCCAAUAAAAAAUAUAUGGUUUGUUAGACAUUGCUGGAUAUGGCUAUAGAGACAUGAUAUUGUUACAAUAUCUCAAGGAGCCAUACAAAAGAAGUACAAGGAGCAAUUGUGCUUAGUUUUAUUUGCCCAUUUCAUUAUAUUGUCAAAAGACGUCAACAAAGUCAUAGAAGAUGAUUUGUUGGAACUUGCUGAGGAUCUUGACAAAUUCAACAAUUAUCCCUCGAGAUAUGACAGCUACAAGUUGGCUUUCAAAUAUUUAUUGACAAAGCUAUCCCCAAGGACAAUCACCUUGUACGGAUUUCCUGAGGCUUUUAUGGUAAAUUUAAUCACUAUUUGUAUACUCUUGCAUUUGUUCAUAUUGAAUAGUUAUUAUGACUUUUUUUGGUUUGCUUUCUAUUUACAUUUCUUAGGCUUAGGAAUUUGAAUUCAUUCCUCCUCUCUGAAAGCAGGUCAAGGAUUACCUAAAUAAGGUUUCUCACUCUAGGAUCCUUAAGUGGUUGGCUGCAAAGAGCAAUACAAGAAUUAAGGAGGUUGAUCUCUUUAACCCUUUGAAUGAUGUAGUAAGUCUCAUUUUAAGUAAAAUAAUUUGACUAAAAGAAUGAUAUUGAAACUGAUGAUACAUAUGUUGCAAUAGAUUGGUAAUCUAUUGCAAUUUAUCUUAACAGAUUACCAAACUAGUGCAAUAGAUUAGUAAUCUGUUGCGACAGAUAAGUCAUUUUUUGCAAUAGAUUACCCAUUUGUUGCUUUGGUUCUUUGAAACUGACUUAACAAAUUAUCCAUCUACUGCACCAGAUGCAAUAUAUGGGUAAUCUAAGGCAAUAGAGGGUUAAUCUAUUGCCAUAUAUGAAUCAUCUGUUGCAUUAUAAAGAUCAUCUUUUGCAUAAGUUGUCUGUGUUAACACAUUACCCAACCGACUGCAAAUUAUUAUUUGACUUAAACAUAUUUAUUCUUUUUUUUAGGUUAUGCAUCCAUGGAUCGUGCCUGCUAAGCAGGAGUUCAAAAUAACUUCUUUUAUUACUCUAGGCCUUGUUGAUACAAUAGCAGACCCAAUGGUGGAGUUAAUAAAGAAGGAAUUGGCUGUAGUAACAGCCAUAAGAAAAGCAGUUAGGCAAGGUCAGCCUAAUGUUGAAGCUCUUUAUGACCAACCUGCUGCAAUAGAUCUGGGUUCUGCUUUUAGGGGUGUUUUUGGUGGAGUAGUUGAUAUUGGUGGCAGACAUGGUGUUGCUGCUGCCAGUCGUGAUGAUGAGCAUGUUGAUGCUCAAGAAAAAAUAAAUAUGUUUGAAGUCACACCUUACACUGGUCCUUCUCACCCUUACACCUAUCUCUCUAAUCCUUACAGUGGUAGCUCUCACCCCUUUCACCCUCAUGUUCUCAUUGCAAAUGCGAAGAGUGCAUCGACAGACAUGAUAAGCUCUUUGAAAAAGUAGAGGUUAUCACUAAAGCUAUCGAGGAAUUAAAAGCCAAGAGGGGUGUCAUACCUUCCAAGAAAGUGAGUGAGCCAUACUCUCUUACAGUGACGGUUAAGAAAAAGAAAAGAGAAAUUAGACAUAUAAUAUCAAUUAUGAAAACAAAAAAAAUUGCAACUCCUUCCGCUUCGAAAUUUGUUGAAGUUCAGAGACCGUUGAAGAGGGUGGACAUAUACGUGGAACUUGACGCCAAAUAGAAGGCUAUUUUGAGAAAGACAAUAAAUUCCAAGCAAAGCGCAAAAAACUUCACCAUGAACACCUUUCCCCCCAGGACUUUAAGAAGAUAAUAGAUAUGGAUUAGUGGUACAUGGACACGGUAAGUUUACUUUUACUAACCCAACCUUCUAAUAUACUCCAUGAAGAAAAUGACAAAUAUGGAUCAUUUGUUUCAAAAUUUGGGUACUCUUGUGCUACUGACGGUGGUUCUGUUACAACAGAUUACCUAUCUGUUGCAUAAAUUGUAUUAGAUAGGUAAUCUGUUAACAUAUUCAGAGAACCCGUGCAACAGAUAGACCAUCUGUUGCAUCUUUACAUUUUGUUUUUCUUUUUUAAAAUAACCAACCUAUUUAAAAAUUGUCUUCUUAUAUCACAGUAUGUUGAUGAAAUUCUCUUCCUCAUGAGGGGCAGACAAUUAGUGUACUCGGAAGCUUAUAAUGCUUUCGAUAGAAUAAUGGACCUCAACUUCUACAAUAAUUUCAAGGAUAGGUACAAUUUGCUCAUUAAGCUAGCUUUAACUCCUGGUGGCUCGGGAUUUGAUUCAUUAGUUUUUGGUUCAAAUGGGAUAAAGAUAUGAUUAAUUAUGUUAGACGGAAGAGGCCAUAUCUAGACGACAAUGACCGAACCAAAGCAAAGAGGAUUCUUGCAGUCAUGAACGUGGAAAAAAAUAUUUUUGGCUAUUGAGAUACUGAUCGAGGAGUGAUGAUUAAGGUUUAUGACUACAACUUGCCUGUCUUCGUCAAGGUAGAUUUUUUUUACCAAGAUACAUCCACUAUUGGCAUUGGUACCUAACUUGUUGAGGCAGAGUGGACUAAUGAAUAGUUUUCCAGCGAAAGUGUUGAAGUAAACAUGGGAUUUUGAAGGUCAAAACAAGGACAAGGGCCUUCCAAAAAAUAAAACCGGUGCUACAUGCGGGUCGUACGUGCUUGCACACAUUAAAUGUUUGCUAACCAGCACAAAAAUGUCCAACCGAAAAGCCUUUUUAUGUGAAAACACUGUGGCAAGGAUGCAAGUGGUUUGGUUUUAUGGAUUACUAACUAAAUUCUUGGAGUCUAUGUAUAAAAAGAAGAAGUAGAAACACAAACACCAUGCCGAUUUUUAUUUCAUGAUAAUUUGUUAUAUUUGAUGAAAAUUGAAUUUCUUAUAAUGCAACAGAUUGUCUAUCUGUUCUGACAAAUUGUUUAUCUAUUGCAAUAGGCUGGUCAUCUAUUGCAUUAUGCAGAUGUUUAUAUCUAAGUCUAUCUAUUGCAACCGAUAGGUCAUCUAUUGAAACAAAUCAAAAUAGUAGGAAGGCCUGUUUGAUAAUUUCCAAUAGAUGACCUACACGUUGCAACAUGUCUAAAUCUGUUUGAUAAUUUCCAACAGAUAUGUCCUCUGUUACAAUAGAUACAUUAUCUGUUACAAUAUUUGAAUCUAGUAUUCCAUUUCAAUUAAUAAGUUCAAAUCUAUGGAUAACAUAGACAACAUAAAAUAAAUCAAAACCUUCACAAAGUAUAUGAAAUAAAUAAACAAAUAAACGAAAUGUAAUUUUUUUUUUAUGGGUACAGAUGAUAUACUCAAUAAAUAAAUCAGCAUUUUAUUUGUUAGUGCCAAUAAUUUCUAAGGAGAGGCCAUUACUUUGAUAGUAAAGAUAUACUCAAUAUGGAGAAGUUAUUCUUCAUCUGGUGCUAUGAAAUUUGGCUUUGGUCGUCAUGAAUCUUUAAUGUCGCUUGUGUAUGAUUUCUAAGCUUUUGCUUCUCCGUAUUUUCAUAAAAUAGUAGCAUAUAUUUUACGGAGUAAUUCAACAUUAGGUCCAUAAUUUUGAACUUGUAAUCUAUCGGUCAAAUACUCAGCAUAAGUGGCAACAAAAAGACCUCAAUCCCUACAUUUGUAAAAAUUAGAUAAUCCAUAUCUUGCAAUUACUAUAAUGUUGUGAAAUUUAUGAAAUAAAACUAAAUCAUGAUAUAUGAUUGAUACUUACAGGCUACCAAUGGGUUGUUGAGCAAUCCAUUUAACAUAUUCUAUAUCAAAUGGAUUUUAUCCUACUAUGCUUCAAUCGUCGACCAAUCAGUACGAACCUUUUGAUCAAAAAAUCCACUUAUAUCAAGGUAAGUAGGCAAUAUUUUGGCCAGCUUUUGUAUCUCAGACGAUGGCCCAAACGUCUCCUUUCAUACAUCAAAUUAUAAACUCAAAUGCGUCUUUCUUUUAGAACGACGUUAGCCAACACCCAAUGGAAUUCAUCACUGCAAUUAAUUGGGAUGUACACUUCGUCCACCAAAUGCCAAGGUAAGCCAGUUGGAAUGCUAAAACCUUUGAUAAUGUUGAUUAAGCAUUUCUUAUUUCAGCAAACAUCCAACUGUUGUUGACAAUACUUAUCGUAGGCAUUAUUGAUGUAAACUUUGUACAAAUAAUUUCUUGUCGUAUAUCUGUAUUGUUCUUAUAGUUUCACCUUGGACUUCUUUUACAUGUAGUAAAAAACAACAUCGAUGUACUUCAUAUAUUAUAAAACAUUUUAGAUUAUGUGACAAUAAAA
rnacentral:lncRNA from 1 species